AUUUUUAUUUUUAUAUUAUAUAUAUUUAUUAAAAUUUUUAAAAAAAAUAAUUUUUUAUUUUUUUAUUUAUUUAGAUAUAAUUAUUAAAAAUUAUAGAUUAUAAGUAAAGCGAUUGAAUAUUGAAAUAUUAAUUGAAAUAGUAAAAUAUUUAAAAGAAAAAUUUAUGUUUUGUACCUUGUGUAUCAGGGUUUAUUAAAUAAUAUAUAUAUAUAUUAUUUUUCUCGAAUUUAAAAGAGCUAAAAAAUUAUGGAUUUUAUUGUAACAUAAAUAUUUAAAAUAAUUUUUUAGUAAUGAAACGUUAUUCGUUUUUAAAUUUAUCUAGUUAUUUAAGAAAUAAAUUUAAUUUAGUUAGUUAUUAUAAUUAUGAUAAUUUUUUAUUUAAAUUAAUAUAAUUAAUUAAUAUUUUAAGGGAUAAGCUUUAAAAUAAAAAUUUAUAAAUUUUAUUUUAAUUUAUAAAAGUAAAUAGGAUUGGUAGUUUUUUUUAUUAAGAGUGUGUUACAACAAACUUUUAUUUUUAAAUUUAAUUUAUAUAUAAAUUUUAAAUUUUUUAUUAAAUUUAUUUAUUUAAUAUAAUAAUAUAUGUAAUAAUGAUAAAAUUAGUAUAUAUUUAAUGUAAUUUUAAUUUGUUAUUUUAGGUUAAAUUAAGGAACUCGGCAAAUUAUUUUUCCGCCUGUUUAUUAAAAACAUGUCUUUAAGAUUAUAAUUUAAAGUCUGGCCUGCCCUAUGAAUUAUUUUAAAUGGCUGCGGUACCCUGACCGUGCAAAGGUAGCAUAAUAAUUAGUUUUUUAAUUGGGAACUGGUAUGAAAGGUCUUACGAGAAAAAGACUGUCUCGAUUUAAAUUUAAUUAGAAUUUUAUUUUUAAGUAAGAAAGCUUAAAUUUUUUUAAAAGACGAGAAGACCCUAUAGAGUUUUAUAUACAUUAUUAUAAAUAAAAGUUAAAGAAUUAUAAAUUUAUUUAUAAUAAUUUAUAUUUGGUUGGGGCAAUUGAGAAAUUUAAAUAAUUUUUUUUUAUUUUAUAAUAAACAUUGAUUUAUGAAUAAUUGAUCCAUAAAUUUAUGAUUAGAAGAUUAAAUUACCUUAGGGAUAACAGCGUAAUUUUUUUUAGAGUUCUUAUCGAAAAAAAAGUUUGCGACCUCGAUGUUGGAUUAAAAUUAACUUUUGGUGUAGAGGCUAAAACGUUAGGUCUGUUCGACCUUUAAAAUUUUACAUGAUCUGAGUUUAAACCGGCGUGAGCCAGGUUGGUUUCUAUCUUUAAAAAAUUAAAAUAUUUUUGUACGAAAGGACCAAAUAUUUAUAAAAAUUGUUAUAUUAGAAUAAUAAUAAUAUAAUUACUUUG
rnacentral:rRNA from 1 species